CACGUAGGGGGCGAGCGUUGUCCGGAUUUAUUGGGCGUAAAGAGCUCGUAGGCGGCUCGGUAAGUCGGGUGUGAAAACUCGGGGCUCAACCCCGAGACGCCACUCGAUACUGCUGUGGCUUGAGUCCGGUAGGGGAGCGUGGAAUUCCUGGUGUAGCGGUGAAAUGCGCAGAUAUCAGGAGGAACACCAGUGGCGAAGGCGGCGCUCUGGGCCGGUACUGACGCUGAGGAGCGAAAGCGUGGGGAGCAAACAGG
rnacentral:rRNA from 1 species